rnacentral:misc_RNA from 1 species
AGCAAUUGAUUCUUAUCUUAAGGUAAUUCAUCCUUCUUCUCCUAGCCAGAAUAUUUUUUUUUUGGCUUUAGAACAAGUAUUAAGAAUAUAAAACAGUACAAAACCUAAUGUGUACUUGAAUCUUAAAUGCAAGAACAGAAUUUCUGGCAAAACAUUUUAGUAAAACUUAGAACAGAGAUUUAUAUUCUGUGGCAGCUCUUCAAGCUUGGAGAUUAGAACAAAAAAAUUGUAGAAAAAUAAUCCAUUCAUCAUAUGCGUUUAAUAUGCACGUACAAGUGUUUAAUAUCCAAAUCAAGUUAUGUAUAUGUACCACUUGAUGAGUAGAUAUAUCAAUCAUAAAUGUAAGCAGAAAACCAUCUGUUAAUAUAUCAAUCAUAAAUGUAAGCAGAAAACCAUCUGUUAAUAAGAAACAAAUCAUAAAUGUGAGCAAGACAUACCAUCUAGUCAAAAAAGGAAAAGAAAUCAAAUACAAUGGUCCCCUAUAAAUCCAUGACCACAGACAAACAUUUCUUUCAUUCAUAAUCAUACAAUAGCUCAUCAGGAUAAUGAGAGCAGUAACAAUGUAAAAAGUAUGUGCAUCAUCUUGAUAGCAGUGGCAUUCGACUAUUGCCGCUUAAGAAACUAAUUUCAGCUAGUAAUUUCAGAGGAAAUUAGAGGAAUCCAUUGCAGAGGGAACUAAAGUAUUCUUUACUUCAGCCAAAUUUAUGGGGUUUCAUGGUGGCAACUUGCAACUUUUAGGAUCAAAUUUCCACAUGUUAGGCAAUUUGAUUUUGUGAUCUUCCCUUGUUCUAAAUUCUUAUUUGAAUCACGAUAUAACAGGCACAUCCAACACUCUCUGAGCAUGAAAGAAAGCGCCUAUGCCGUGUGAUGGACUGUCAAAAACUCUCAAUUGAUGCAUGUAUGCAUGCUGCUCAAAAUGAGAGACUACCACUUAGGGUU